AGCCCGGGCUGAGUUUCAGCCCGGGCUGAAAUUUCAGCCCGGUUUGAGCUGCCCGGGCUGAAAUUUCAGCCCGGACUGAAACUCAGCCCAGCA
rnacentral:miRNA from 1 species